rnacentral:rRNA from 1 species
UUGACCUCGGAUCAGGUAGGGAUACCCGCUGAACUUAAGCAUAUCAAUAAGCGGAGGAAAAGAAACCAACAGGGAUUGCCUCAGUAACGGCGAGUGAAGCGGCAAGAGCUCAAAUUUGAAAGCUGGCCCCUUCGGGGUCCGCAUUGUAAUUUGCAGAGGAUGCUUCGGGAGCGGCCCCCAUCUAAGUGCCCUGGAACGGGCCGUCAUAGAGGGUGAGAAUCCCGUCUGGGAUGGGGUGCCCGCGCCCGUGUGAAGCUCCUUCGACGAGUCGAGUUGUUUGGGAAUGCAGCUCUAAAUGGGUGGUAAAUUUCAUCUAAAGCUAAAUACUGGCCGGAGACCGAUAGCGCACAAGUAGAGUGAUCGAAAGAUGAAAAGCACUUUGAAAAGAGAGUUAAACAGCACGUGAAAUUGUUGAAAGGGAAGCGCUUGCGACCAGACUCGCUCGCGGGGUUCAGCCGGCCUUCGGGCCGGUGUACUUCCCCGCGGGCGGGCCAGCGUCGGUUUGGGCGGCCGGUCAAAGGCCCUCGGAAUGUAACGCCCCCCGGGGCGUCUUAUAGCCGAGGGUGCCAUGCGGCCAGCCCGGACCGAGGAACGCGCUUCGGCUCGGACGCUGGCAUAAUGGUCGUAAGCGACC